GAGAGUUUGAGCAGCAAGCACGGGCACUGCUGUGGUGACCAUCGUGGCCCUCACAAAGCCCUUUCUUUUUUAUCUCUUUAGAGAGAUAAACUAGCACCCCCUUAUUUGGCUGCGAGGGCCGGAGAGCUCCUUUGGGGAGGGAGAUAUGCCUCGCUGGGCCUGUAGGUCUGGACCUGAGAUUCUUGUUAUUAACUUCAACGCGGUCUGGUGAUCUCCCCUGUUGAUGCAGUCCUUUCAAUGCCAGGGAAAGCCAUGUCCUUAGAAAGGGACUGUUUGGCCCAGCCUUCCCGGAGAUGGAGGCUUCCUGACGUUUCCAAAGGCCACUUUGGCUUCUCUAGAGGGCUGGCCUGGUGCACUCAUGCAAGAUGAAGCUAUGUCUGCUGGCAAGUCUGCUGUCUAGACAUCCAAGUUUCUCCUGAUGGAUGUUGUUCUUUUUGACUUUUUUCUCCAGCACAAACAAGGCCUUUCUCAUCAAGCUGGAAAGCGGCACUGCAAUUUCUCGCUGUAACCUCUGGUUACUCAAUGGCUCCGCAUCCCUAACAAAUGGCCCAUGGAGAAUGAAGCCAAAAACAGAGGACCACCUUCCUAACGAGUGAUUAUGUGGAAAUUUAGAUGCCAAAGGUGGAGACCAAAGCAUAUGGCUUUGUGAUGAGCAGUGUGAUUUGCCAGGGCUCAGAAGAUGGAAGGAGAUAAAUAACAGCAGUAGUGGGGCUAUAUCUAGGGAAGAGAGAUGAGUGGAGUUCCAUGUCCACCUGUCAUAGGUGCCCUCCAAAUGCUCUUCAGAGUUGGCGGGGGGGGGGGUCAGGGCGUCUGGAUGUGUUGCUAUUUUCCUUUGACUUAAAGAGAACUGUUUGUAUCUGUGUCUCCCUGUUGCUAGUGUGGAAUUCAGCCUGGGCUGUUAAUCUAGAUAUUUCAGAUAGUGCAGAAGAUCAGCUGUAUUGGCUUGUUCUUACAGUAGUGUGAGAAAACUUGAAAAUAAAAUAAAGGAUGAUUAAUCACCACC
rnacentral:lncRNA from 1 species